AUUGAACGCUGGCGGCAGGCCUAACACAUGCAAGUCGAACGAGUGGCGGACGGGUGAGUAAUGUCUGGGAAACUGCCCGAUGGAGGGGGAUAACUACUGGAAACGGUAGCUAAUACCGCAUACCAUCGGAUGUGCCCAGAUGGGAUUAGCUAGUAGGUGGGGUAACGGCUCACCUAGGAGACGAUCCCUAGCUGGUCUGAGAGGAUGACAGGACACACUGCAACGGAGACACGGACAAGACUCCUACGGGAGGCAGCAGUUGGGAAUAAUGCACAAUGGGCGCAAGCCUGAUGCAGCCAUGCCGCGUGUAUGAAGAAGGCCUUCGGGUUGUAAAGUACUUUCAGCGAGGAGGCGUUACUCGCAGAAUAAGCACCGGCUAACUCCGUGCCAGCCGCCGCGGUAAUUC
rnacentral:rRNA from 1 species